rnacentral:rRNA from 1 species
ACGGAAGGCAGCAGUGGGGAAUAUUGCACAAUGGGGGAAACCCUGAUGCAGCGACGCCGCGUGAGCGAAGAAGUAUUUCGGUAUGUAAAGCUCUAUCAGCAGGGAAGAAAAUGACGGUACCUGACUAAGAAGCCCCGGCUAACUACGUGCCAGCAGCCGCGGUAAUACGUAGGGGGCAAGCGUUAUCCGGAUUUACUGGGUGUAAAGGGAGCGUAGACGGCAAGGUAAGUCUGAAGUGAAAUGCCGGGGCUCAACCCCGGAACUGCUUUGGAAACUAUCUUGCUCGAGUACAGGAGGGGUAAGCGGAAUUCCUAGUGUAGCGGUGAAAUGCGUAGAUAUUAGGAGGAACACCAGUGGCGAAGGCGGCUUACUGGACGGUAACUGACGUUGAGGCUCGAAAGCGUGGGGAGCAAACAGGAUUAGAUACCCUGGUA